GUCAAGGACUCAAAACGAUUUACAGUCAACCUCUACAACAACGGGAAUCUGGAGAUCGGGGCACUGUUACUGCUGUAACAAAAGGGGACACUGGAGGAAAGAUUGCACAGAAAAAUUGAAAAAGAAUAAGAUAAGUGAAAAUUUUGAAAAUGGUAAUCAUGGCAAUUAAGAAAAAUGUAGGUCGAUGGCGUUCGAUAGGAGCAAAUAGCUUUGUUAUUGACGUUUUAAACUUUGGUUAUCAGAUGCCUUUGGUUACUACACCGGGACAUAUUGUAUUGCAGAACGACAAAUCUGCUGUUAACAAUGAGCAGUUUGUGUCCAAAGAAAUCAAAAAGAUAGUAGAGAAAGGUUGUAUUCUGAAAGUAAAUAAAAAUACCAAGGACAGUAAACCCGUUGGCGGUAGCAGUCAAACAUAAUUUCGCAUCAAGGAGAACAAAUGGCUUUGACAUAACAAAGAAAUGACAAUAUUCGUUAAAAAUAGCAUGGUACCAGGAGAGCUAGAUGCCUAUAUUCCCAACAAUAUGAGCCAGUCCGAAAGAGAGUCUACAACAGGUGCAAUACAGCUCAUUAAAAAUGUUUUGAGAAAAGAUUUGUCAGAUAAUGUCGUGUAUCAUGAUCAACAGUUAAGGUCAUCACAGAUAGACCAAAGCUGACAUGGAAUGAAAUAGUAAAACGAGACAUAGAGUUUACAGGAUUGGAUAGGAUCAAUCCACUUGGUCACCAAGUAUAGAAAAACAAAUUUCGACCUCAACAGGACACCCAGCCCUAACCCCUCCGAAAGGAUUAAUUUGGCCUGGAUAAUCAAAAUGGAGUUUUGAGAUUGAUCGCUGUUCGUUAUCUUCACCUUUCAUGAUGAUGGAAGCUCAGUGAAGGUAGAUGCUGGCAAUGAAGCUCUUUAGCAAUAGAACAAACAGGCUUAACAUUAAGGAUAUGCGGGACGAUGAUCACGUGAUGGUUGCAAAUUUAUUAUAAAUUUAGAACCGGACGCAGCGUAGUUAAGCUUCCCGAGAAAAAUCCCAAUACUGUACAGACACACUAUACGACGUCAUAAUAAAAAAGUACGUCACGACGUUGCAUCGCGGGGAAAAUGUCAUCAUAUUUUGUUGUAAUUUGCUAUCGCUGUCAAGUGUUUUGUGUAAAUCUGUUGAUUGAAUUCUUGUCAAAUGAUAAUUUUCCUUUUAUUUCAUAGUGAUUACAAGUCUCUUUUUGAUAUAUAUACAUUGCAUAUAUUAUAUAUAUGUAUAGUAUGAGCCACAAUAAUUUUGAUAGUAUAGCCUACAACUCACCGAAAUCGCUCCUACAUGCACAUGCAAUUUGCAUCUCUAGGCAUUUACAAAAAGAAAGUCAACCGUCUGUAAACACUGACUCAGUGCAAGUGUAAGAUGAUGAUCGUUUGUUGAUAUUUACAAUAAUAGUGUGAAACUAGAACUGGGCACACAUUUCUCCGAAUCUUGCUUGGGAAACAUACACACUAUUCAGGU